rnacentral:rRNA from 1 species
ACGGAGGGUGCAAGCGUUAUCCGGAUUCACUGGGUUUAAAGGGUGCGUAGGCGGGUCGGUAAGUCAGUGGUGAAAUCCUGGGGCUUAACCCCAGAACUGCCGUUGAUACUAUCGAUCUUGAAUGUUGUGGAGGUGAGCGGAAUAUGUCAUGUAGCGGUGAAAUGCUUAGAGAUGACAUAGAACACCAAUUGCGAAGGCAGCUCACUACGCAAAUAUUGACGCUGAGGCACGAAAGCGUGGGGAUCAAACAGGA